rnacentral:rRNA from 1 species
UGGGGAAUAUUGGACAAUGGGGGGAACCCUGAUCCAGCCAUGCCGCGUGUGUGAAGAAGGCCUUAUGGUUGUAAAGCACUUUAAGCGAGGAGGAGGGUACUGGUAUUAAUACUACCAGGUACUGGACGUUACUCGCAGAAUAAGCACCGGCUAACCCUGUGCCAGCAGCCGCGGUAAUACAGAGGGUGCAAGCGUUAAUCGGAAUUACUGGGCGUAAAGCGCGCGUAGGUGGUUCGUUAAGUUGAAUGUGAAAGCCCCGGGCUCAACCUGGGAACUGCAUCCAAAACUGGCGAGCUAGAGUAGGGCAGAGGGUGGUGGAAUUUCCUGUGUAGCGGUGAAAUGCGUAGAUAUAGGAAGGAACACCAGUGGCGAAGGCGACCACCUGGGCUCAUACUGACACUGAGGUGCGAAAGCGUGGGGAGCAAACAGG